rnacentral:rRNA from 1 species
UCGCCUGUUUAUCAAAAACAUCACCUCUAGCAUCACCAGUAUUAGAGGCAUCGCUGUCGCCUGUUUAUCAAAAACAUGGCCUUGUAUAUAUGUAAGGUCUGGCCUGCCCACUGAUUAUUUGAAGGGCCGUGGUAUUUUAACCAUGCGAAGGUAGCAUAAUCAUUUGCCUUUUAAUUGAGGGCUGGAAUGAAGGGUCGUUCGAGGGAUUAACUGUCUCUAACCUUUAUUUGAAAUUAAUCUUUUAGUGAAAAAGCUAAACUAUACUUGAAGGACGAUAAGACCCUAUAGAUCUUUAUAGAAACAAAAUUAGAAAUUGGUUGUAAGUUCUUUUUACCCCUUCUAUUGAGUUGGGGCGACGCUAUAUGAAGAUAUAACAUUUAGUUUAUUUAAACACUUACAUGUGAUGACAAGAUCCUGGGAUGAGAAAAGGAGAUAGUUACCUUAGGGAUAACAGCGUAAUGGUUUUUGAAAGUUCAAAUUGACAAAACCGUUUACGACCUCGAUGUUGGUUCAGGGAUCCUAUUUAGCGCAGUAGCUUUAUAAGGGAGUCUGUUCGACUUUUAAAUCCCUACAUGAUCUGAGUUCAAACCGGAAGGUUCGUUUGUUCAACGAUUAAAGUCCUACAUGAUCUGAGUUCAAACCGGA